ACAGGGAUGCCUUAGUAACUGCGAGUGAAGCGGCAAAAGCUCAAAUUUGAAAUCUGCGGGCGCCGAGUUGUAAUCUUGAGAUGCGUUUUCGACCGACACCCUUGGAACAGGGCGUCACAGAGGGUGAGAAUCCCGUGAACGGUAGGCCUCGAGGCUAAUGAUACGUAUUCAACGAGUCGAGUUGUUUGGGAAUGCAGCUCAAAAUGGGUGGUAAAUUUCAUCUAAAGCUAAAUAUUGGGGAGAGACCGAUAGCGCACAAGUAGAGUGAUCGAAAGAUGAAAAGCACUUUGAAAAGAGAGUUAAAAAGUACGUGAAAUUGUUGAAAGGGAAGCGCUUGAGGCCAGACUCAUUCACUGUUGAUCAACGGGUGCACUCGGCGGUGUGGGACAGCAUCGGUUCGCGGAGGGACAAAGAAAUGUGGCACCCACCUGCGGGGCAAUGCCUCCGCUGGGACCGAGGACCGCGCUCCGGCCUUCAGCGACCCGUCUUGAAACACGGACCAAGGAGUCUAACAUCUAUGCGAGUGUUCGGGUGGAAACCCUUGCGCGUAAUGAAGGUGAACGGAGGUGGGACGCACCAUCGACCGAUCCUGAAGUCUUCGGAAGGAUUUGAGUAUGAGCAUAGCUGUUGGGACCCGAAAGAUGGUGAACUAUGCCUGAAUAGGGUGAAGCCAGGGGAAACUCUGGUGGAGGCUCGGUUCUGACGUGCAAAUCGAUCGUCAAAUUUGGGGCGAAAGACUAAUCG
rnacentral:rRNA from 1 species